rnacentral:rRNA from 1 species
GAGCAACAGGGAUUGCCCCAGUAACGGCGAGUGAAGCGGCAAUAGCUCAAAUUUGAAAUCUGGCUCUUUCAGGGUCCGAGUUGUAAUUUGCAGAGGGCGCUUUGGCGUCGGCAGCAGCCUAAGUUCCUUGGAACAGGUCAUCAUAGAGGGUGAGAAUCCCGUAUGUGGCUGCUUGUCUUCACCGUGUAAAGCCCCUUCGAUGAGUCGAGUUGUUUGGGAAUGCAGCUCUAAAUGGGAGGUAAAUUUCUUCUAAAGCUAAAUAUUGGCCAGAGACCGAUAGCGCACAAGUAGAGUGAUCGAAAGAUGAAAAGCACUUUGGAAAGAGAGUCAAAAAGCACGUGAAAUUGUUGAAAGGGAAGCGCUUGCAGCCAGACGUGCCCGCAGUUGCUCAUCCGGGGUUCUCCCCGGUGCACUCUUCUGUGGGCAGGCCAGCAUCAGUCCGGGCGGUUGGAGAAAGACCUGUGUCAUGUAGCUCUCUUCGGGGAGUGUUAUAGGGCAGGUGGAAUGCAACCAGCCUGGACUGAGGUCCGCGCAUCUGCUAGGAUGCUGGCGUAAUGGCUGUAAGCGGCCCGUCUUGAAACACGGACCAAGGAGUCUAACAUCUAUGCGAGUGUUUGGGUGUCAAGCCCGAGCGCGUAAUGAAAGUGAACGGAGGUGGGAACCCCUCGGGGUGCACCAUCGACCGAUCCUGAUGUCUUCGGAUGGAUUUGAGUAAGAGCAUAGCUGUUGGGACCCGAAAGAUGGUGAACUAUGCCUGAAUAGGGUGAAGCCAGAGGAAACUCUGGUGGAGGCUCGCAGCGGUUCUGACGUGCAAAUCGAUCGUCAAAUUUGGGCAUAGGGGCGAAAGACUAAUCGAAC